AUUGAACGCUGGCGGCAGGCCUAACACAUGCAAGUCGAGCGGAUGAAGGGAGCUUGCUCCUGGAUUCAGCGGCGGACGGGUGAGUAAUGCCUAGGAAUCUGCCUGGUAGUGGGGGAUAACGUCCGGAAACGGGCGCUAAUACCGCAUACGUCCUGAGGGAGAAAGUGGGGGAUCUUCGGACCUCACGCUAUCAGAUGAGCCUAGGUCGGAUUAGCUAGUUGGUGGGGUAAAGGCCUACCAAGGCGACGAUCCGUAACUGGUCCGAGAGGAUGAUCAGUCACACUGGAACUGAGACACGGUCCAGACUCCUACGGGAGGCAGCAGUGGGGAAUAUUGGACAAUGGGCGAAAGCCUGAUCCAGCCAUGCCGCGUGUGUGAAGAAGGUCUUCGGAUUGUAAAGCACUUUAAGUUGGGAGGAAGGGCAGUAAGUUAAUACCUUGCCGUUUUGACGUUACCAACAGAAUAAGCACCGGCUAACUUCGUG
rnacentral:rRNA from 1 species